rnacentral:rRNA from 1 species
AUUGAACGCUGGCGGCAGGCUUAACACAUGCAAGUCGAGCGGAGAGAAGUAGCUUGCUACUGAUCUUAGCGGCGGACGGGUGAGUAAUGCUUAGGAAUCUGCCUAUUAGUGGGGGACAACAUUUCGAAAGGAAUGCUAAUACCGCAUACGUCCUACGGGAGAAAGCAGGGGAUCUUCGGCCCUUGCGCUAAUAGAUGAGCCUAAGUCGGAUUAGCUAGUUGGUGGGGUAAAGGCCUACCAAGGCGACGAUCUGUAGCGGGUCUGAGAGGAUGAUCCGCCACACUGGGACUGAGACACGGCCCAGACUCCUACGGGAGGCAGCAGUGGGGAAUAUUGGACAAUGGGCGGAAGCCUGAUCCAGCCAUGCCGCGUGUGUGAAGAAGGCCUUAUGGUUGUAAAGCACUUUAAGCGAGGAGGAGGCUACUUUAGUUAAUACCUAGAGAUAGUGGACGUUACUCGCAGAAUAAGCACCGGCUAACUCUGUGCCAGCCGCCGCGGUAAGAC